UUCUAUGGCGGGCCUUGGUGGGGAUACCUUCGGGUAUGCCGGUUGCCUUCUUACCGGUUCGCCAACCCCGUCUUGCGCCUGCCACCCCC
rnacentral:antisense_RNA from 1 species